UGGGCAACCUGCCCUCAGCACUGGGAUAACUCCGGGAAACCGGGGCUAAUACCGGAUACGACCGCGGCGGACAUCCGCUGUGGUGGAAAGCGUUAGUGGCUGAGGAUGGGCCCGCGGCCUAUCAGCUAGUUGGUGGGGUGAUGGCCCACAAGGCGACGACGGGUAGCCGGCCUGAGAGGGCGACCGGCCACACUGGGACUGAGACACGGCCCAGACCUCCGUACGGGAGGCA
rnacentral:rRNA from 1 species